rnacentral:rRNA from 1 species
UACGAAGGGGGCUAGCGUUGCUCGGAAUCACUGUGCGUAAAGGGUGCGUAGGCGGGUAUUUAAGUCAGGGGGGAAAUCCUGGAGCUCAACUCCAGAACUGCCUUUGAUACUGAAGAUCUUGAGUUCGGGAGAGGUGAGUGGAACUGCGAGUGUAGAGGUGAAAUUCGUAGAUAUUCGCAAGAACACCAGUGGCGAAGGCGGCUCACUGGCCCGAUACUGACGCUGAGGCACGAAAGCGUGGGGAGCAAACAGG